GUACUGCUGAGUAGUCCCACAAUAGAACGAAACGGCCGUCCGGUGC
rnacentral:hammerhead_ribozyme from 1 species